AUGGGAGCGGCAUCACUGCUGUCAUUUGCCAAUACCGCCCCCUUUAUAUUCAAUCCCCCAACUUCUCCCACCUCCCCCAUCCCACCUCUUCUCUUCUCCCAAGUCCCAACUCAAAGGCAAGCGCAGACCCAGCUCAGCUCAGGCAACAACAAUCAGAUCACACACAGGCUGCCUAAUCCUGCUCUUCGUUGGCGGUUUCUGUGCAGCCCGCCGAGCUCUUGCGAGAAUAUUGCAAUGGCGUCCACGUCGAGCUCGACGGCGGUGGACGAGAGGGAGCGGAAGCGGAAGAGGGCAGCCGGGGGUGAUUCCACAGCGUCCGCCGGCCCGGGGACGGAGGCGCAGCCUUCCAAGUGGCGGACGCAGCGCGAGCACGAGAUCUACUCGUCCAAGCUCUUCGAGGCGCUCCGCCUUGUCCGAGGCGGGUCAUCGUCCGCGUCGACGGCGCCGGCGCGUGGCCGGGCCGUGCGGGAGGCCGCCGACCGCGCGCUCGCGGUGGCGGCCCGCGGGCGCUCGCGCUGGAGCCGCGCCAUACUCGCCUCCCGCCGCCGCCGCCUGCAGGCAGCCCACCGCGCGCGCCUCCGCGCCCCAGCCACACCACCCGCGCGCCACCCCUCCGUCGCUGCCGCCGCGCAGCCGCAGCCGGGGAAGGCACCGGCGCUGGCGAAGAAGGCGAAGGUGCUCGGGCGGCUGGUUCCCGGUUGCCACAAGCUGCCGUUCCCGGCGCUCCUGAGCGAGGCCUCCGACUACAUCAAGGCGCUGGAGAUGCAGGUGCGCGCCAUGACCGCUCUAGCCGAGGUCCUGGCGAGCGUCUCCUCGUCGUCAGCCUCCGGCAGCUCCUCCUCGCCGGCAUGA
rnacentral:rRNA from 1 species